rnacentral:rRNA from 1 species
UACGGAGGGGGCUAGCGUUGUUCGGAAUUACUGGGCGUAAAGCGCACGUAGGCGGCUUUGUAAGUUAGAGGUGAAAGCCCCGGGCUUAACCCGGGAAUGGCAUUGGAAGCUGCUGAUCUGGAGGAUCGGAGGGGGGACUGGAAUUCUUGGUGUAGCAGUGAAAUGCGUAGAUAUCAAGAGGAACACCAGUGGCGAAGGCGAGUCCCUGGACGAUACCUGACACUGAGGCACGAAAGCCAAGGGAGCAAACAGG